AGGGGGAGCAAUCCCUGAGUAAAGUGGCGACCGGGUGAGUAACACGUGACUAACCUACCCUCGAGUGUGGAAUAACAUCGGGAAACCGAUGCUAAUACCGCAUAACAUCGCAAGAUCAAAGGAGCAAUCCGCUUGAGGAGGGGGUCGCGGCUGAUUAGCUAGUUGGCGGGGUAACGGCCCACCAAGGCGAAGAUCGGUAGCCGGCCUGAGAGGGCGCACGGCCACACUGGAACUGAAACACGGUCCAGACUCCUACGGGAGGCAGCAGUGGGGAAUUUUGCGCAAUGGGGGAAACCCUGACGCAGCAACGCCGCGUGGAGGAUGAAGCCCCUUGGG
rnacentral:rRNA from 1 species